rnacentral:rRNA from 1 species
UACGUAGGGGGCAAGCGUUGUCCGGAUUUAUUGGGCGUAAAGAGCGUGUAGGCGGCCAGGUAGGUGGGUUGUGAAAACUGGAGGCUCAACCUUCAGACGUCGACCCAAACCCCCCUGGCUAGAGUCCGGAAGAGGAGAGUGGAAUUCCUGGUGUAGCGGUGAAAUGCGCAGAUAUCAGGAAGAACACCAGCGGCGAAGGCGGCACUCUGGGCCGGAACUGACGCUGAGGAGCGAAAGCGUGGGUAGCAAACAGG